GCCCCCCACACCUGCCCUCUUCAUCCAGGGCGACCGCAAGCGGGCCGAGCUCAGCACCCAGGGCCUGCUGCCGGAGGAGACCGAGCCGGAGGAGCGUAUUGUGGUGCCGAAGCGCGGCCGAUCCACCAAAGUGCCCGUCUCCAGUGUCCUCAUCUGAGAACCACACACACCCCCGGCGCUGGGGCCGGGCACCGCCGGCCAUGCAGAGACUCUCGCUGCCCCCCACUGGCUGGGCUCAGGGCGGGCGGAACUGUGCCAGUUUGGGGGGCUGGUUUUUAUGUGGGCGUGGAGCUCCCCGUGAAGGAAACGGGGUCAGGGACAUGGAUGGGGCACCCUGGGCUGGGACAAGCCAGGGACCCCCAACUGAACACCCCCAGGCCCCUGGCGCAGGGAAGGGCUUAGGGACUGAGGGGGGGCCCUUGGAUUCCUUGGGGGGGUGGGCUGUGAGGCCCCCCAAGGUCAUACAGGUCCCCAUUGCAUUGUGGGGGGCUGGGGUCCUGCCCCCGUCCAGCCACCAUAUUUUCACCCCAUUAAACUCUUUGUUACGUC